rnacentral:rRNA from 1 species
GUUAAAAAGCUCGUAGUUGGAUUUCUGGCGGGAGUCCGGGUCGGCCUUAACGGGUUGCACUGUUGUGACGUCUCGCCGUUUCGAGGGGAAUGGGCUCGCUAUUAGGUUAGUGUGUUCGGGAACCUCGUCGUUUACUGUGAAAAAAUUAGAGUGUUCAAAGCAGGCCUUUGCUGUGAAUACAUUAGCAUGGAAUAAUAAGAUAGGACUGUAGUGCUAUUUUGUUGGUUUGCGUACUAUGGUAAUGAUUAAUAGGGAUAGUUGGGGGUAUUCAUAUUCAAUUGUCAGAGGUGAAAUUCUUGGAUUUAUGGAAGAUGAACUACUGCGAAAGCAUUUACCAAGGAUGUUUUCAUUAAUCCAGAACGAAAGUUAGGGGAUCGAAGAUGAUUAGAAUACCAUCGUAGUCUUAACCAUAAACUAUGCCGAC